rnacentral:rRNA from 1 species
UACGGAGGAUCCAAGCGUUAUCCGGAAUUAUUGGGCGUAAAGGGUGCGUAGGCGGUUUGACAAGUCUGAUGUGAAAAUCUAUGGGCUCAACCCCAUAGUCUGCAUUAGAAACUGUCGGGCUUGAGUAUGGGAGAGGUGAGUGGAAUUUCCGGUGUAGCGGUGAAAUGCGUAGAUAUCGGAAGGAACACCUGUGGCGAAAAGCGGCUCACUGGACCAUUACUGACGCUGAUGCACGAAAGCUAGGGGAGCAAACAGG